GGGGGGGGGGGGAGCUGUCCCCGCCGGCCGCGGGCGCGGUGGAUCGCCGGCGUCUCGUUGGGUGCGGAGUAAUGCAUGAUAGUCCUAGCGUAGCUGUAGUUCAGAUGAGUCUUGUAUUUUUUUAAUCGUUUUCGAGGCUCGGCUCGUUUCGACCGGGUUUUUCCGGGCCUCCUGUACAAAUAGAUUUGACCAUUAUAAAUUUUAAUUUAAGUGUCUGUACAUCGAAUCGAUGCCAUCAGGUGGGUUCGCGGUGUCAGAUUUGCAUGAGUUUUCUAUCUCGAACCGUUUUAGUUGUCUCGUAAAUCUAUUAGUUCCGGGACCGCACAGUGAUGUUUAGAGUUCGAGUCGAUCGAGGCCGUUCCUGCUCAAGAACUAACGAUGCCCUUGUGUUCAGUUCGAUCUUUAAUACUAACAUUGAAUAACCUUAAUUUUCAAACCUGUUAAAAGUAACAAUAUUUACUAAAAAGUACAUUGUCGCACUUUUGUCGUAAGCGUUAUUUUUCAAAUAGUUUGUCUGUUUUCAGUGAAACGUUCAGUAUCAAGUGUAGUGUUAAAUGAAUGUGUUAAAAUUAACGAUUAUGAUACAUAAAAGUAUAAAUUACAAGACUUAGUGAAAUCGAGAAUUUAUGUCAACUGUGAUUUGUGACUGGUUUAUUUUGACUAAUAUUUGUGUACGAUUAUAUGUCUGUGUCGAUGUAGAUACGAUGUGCGGCUUUGAUAGAGUAUAUGACUGCUAGAUUUCUGCUAUAUAAUAUACCAAAUAGUAUUUUUACGUUGUAUAUUGUUUUAAUGGAUUCGCAUGUUGUGGUUGGCCGAGCCGAGCCUCGUGGUAGGGCCGCUGGAGCCGGAGAGCCACACGAUGCCCCCACGGCCGACUCUGCCCGGGCAACUUGAUGCAUCAUAUAAAUUACUAUUUAUGUGUAUAUGAAAUGAAAAAUAUUAUGUAUAUGUAAAUACAUAUUACGAUGUAUAUUAUUAUUAUAUGCGAAUAAAAUUGUUAUUUUUGUUUUAUAAAAGCUGAAAAGUCUGACUUUAAAACGCUCGUUAUUAUCCAUUAGUUUUGUUUUCAGACGUAUCGGGGAUCUGAAUUUUGAUAAUCGUGAUGAAUGGUAUUCGUACCGUGCGCGAUCGGAGCGGUGUUCGCGCAAAUAAUAAAUAUUAGUAAGGGUUUUCCGGGGUAUUUGGUACAUUCCGAAGGAAUAUCGUAUAAUUUGGCGUCGCACGGUAUAUAUUUGGUUCGAGUCGUGUGUCGUUGGUCCCGUCCCUCCCUCCAGUUCCUCCCUCUAGUCCCCGCCGGGCCGCCGGUCCCCGUAGGAACGAAAUCCCCAGUAGUAUUGAUUUAUUCUCAAUUCGUCGAUACCUAUUUUAUCGGAAUUAUAUCAGUGGUGGCGUUUGCUUUUCCGUUAAAAAGUUGGGACACGUACAAUGUCAGGAUGGCCGUGUCGGAGACUGUGAAUUAUGUACAACGCCAUCUAUCGGUAUGCUUGUAACUUACACAGUCAAGCGUUUCCUUCAUUAAAAUAAAUACGCUAUAAUAUUAAAAAGCAAUGAUUAUUUGCAUUUCUUGUGCUUCGUUAGAGUUUUCUUACCGGAACAUUUUUUAUGAGAUCGGUCGGAAUUGGACAAGUAACCCUGCUGUGAGGCUGGUUGUUCCGUCGUUUCAAAUUCUAACUAAUCCGUAAAAAAAUAAAUCUCAGUUUAUAUACAUUAAAAGAGUGUUUUACAGUUAGUCGAAAUAUGUGUUUUUUUGUGUAAUAUCAAUAAAAAAAGUGAAAAUAUAUUAAUCCAUGGGGUUAGUUGUGCUCUCGUAUUUUUCCAUAACUACUAUAUUACUAUAAUGGAAGCAACUAAAACGGCUCCUGCAGUAGCAUAGAUAGAGUCCUAACGUUUCGCCAGAUUCCUCAUACGAUUCGCUCCGUUGUUUACUUGCGUUCUUAUUCUCAUCGGAACAACUUGCCCCGGCGCUCUUAGCCCCGCUCUCCUCUACUAAAUCUGUCGUAAAAUUAAAAUGCUAAAUAAAUGCCUUCGUUUCCUUAUUUAAUACGUUAAAUAUUUGAAUUUUACCACACAACCGGAACUGCGUUUCAUUUUGAUAAACGGAUUAUUUACUGUAAGUAAAUAAGCAACUAUUCGUAAUGUCAUCGUAAAAAGUGGACCAUAGAAUAAAAACAUACAGUAAUAACUAUGUACUUAACAACAUUUACAUUAUAAUUACAUGUAUGUCCCGGCGAAUUGAGAAUAAAUGACAGCACCACAGAAUUUAAAGUUUAAUUUUAAGUGGAAUACAUUAGUAGGACGGUUACGGGUGACCUCUUAUUAUAUUUAAGGCUAGUAGAUUGUUUUUAUUUUCUAAAAGAAACCGUGAUAAUAGUUGGUAACGUGGUUGUGUGCGUGAGAGUCCCCGGCGGCGUGUGCGUGUGUGUGUGUUGCGACGCGUAUAUUACGUUGUGCAUGUAUCAUAUGUAGCGUAUUGUAUGUAAUAUGUGUAUUUUAUAAAAGUUAUUUAUUGAGAGCAAUAAUCGUCUUGUCGAAAUUCAUUCAUCAUUGAUAUCGUCCUAUACGUUUAAUGUUGUUAAAUUGAUAUUGAAUUGUCAUAUGUAAUUUUCAGAGUCCGUUAUAAAUGUUGCAAUUCCCUGAAAAUAUGGGUUGGCAAACUAUCUAGCGCGAGGAACACUAACUUCGCCGAAUUAAAAUAUAAAAGUAGUAAUUUUACAACAAAAUAGAUAUCCAUUCGAUUCACUAUAAAUAGAGCUGUCUAUAAAUAGUUUAAAAGGAAAAAAAUAAUAAUUCUAAAAUAACCUAACUUCGUCAGUCGGCACUAGCUUCGCCGCACCAUUUUAAUACUAUAAAAAAUAGACUAAAAGUAUUCCUUAAUGUUUAAUUACUGACCGGCCAUGAUACAAGUUAUUGUGAAAUAAAACGAAGUUAUAUAUCAUAUACUACAGGUGAAUUCAGGGUACGUGUUUCUGCACUUUCUGCCAACCUUUAUUUUGAAUGACUUGCAACGUUGAUACGGUGUUCAGUCAUUUUGUAGUAGACGCAGUUGCGACCCACUGCUACAGACCACCUCGCCAAACCACAUCGCUUCAUUUGUUGACUUCAACUUACUGUACAAUACUCAUUUGUCAACCUAAGUUGUACCAAAUGUUUAGGUUAUACUGGCUGAUACUUGCUAAAUGAAACACACUGUUAUCAUUACAACAAUAUAUUCUCUUAAUAGUAGCUAUCUUUGAUAUGGAAACACAUUAAAAAUUUCGUGUUGAAUUUAUUUGGAAAAUUUAAAGCCAACAUUAGAUUAAAACUAAUUUUAACAUAAUAUUUGUUUUCUGAAAUAUAUUUAGUUUUUUUUAAAAUAUUUUUUUGAGACCGAUGGCUGUAUUUCGGCGACGUGAUUAUUUCGUAUGUAUCGUAUAUUGUUGUACUCGGCCAUUUUCGAAUAUUUUUAUGUUUAUUUUAUAUUCCCUUAAUUUAUGUAUCAUUCGUCAACAAAUUAAGCAUUAUUUACUCGAGCGAUGCAGUUUGUGCAGAUUCGUUAUAGAAUUAUGAAAGAGUGACCAGGGAGGGAUAAAAUAUGUAAGAAAACUAAGAAAAAGACAUGAUUUGUCUAUUAACAUGGCACGUAAGAGUAAGGAAGCGAUAUACUAAUACAGUCUGGCCAACCAUUUCUGUCAGUACAAACGCAGGAAAAUUAAAAGAUGCUUUUUCAUAUUUCGAACUUUACUUAAUGACGGAAACGGUUUGCCAGAUUUUUGUUGUAAGAACGCUUGAGAUGUUUGUAUGCGGUAUAUUACUUUACUACAAUCAUUAAUUGAAUAAUUUAGUGUAAAAUCUAAAUAAAUGUUCGUAAUUGUCAGACCAUUUCCUUCAUUGAAUUUGAUACUAUACUAUUAAAAAAAGUAACACAAGCUCAACAAAACAUAAUAAAGAUAAACAUCCCUCUGGUCACACUUUAGUGAUGCGCAAACUGUACCCCUCGAAACACCUUAUGUAUUAUAUAAAUCAUCGCAAUGUACUGUAUAUAAAUCAGCCAAGUACGGUAUAGUUAUACAGCUAUAUUACAUCAGCCCACAGAGUUGACAGACAGACAGGUAGCGCCGCUAAGACGAAAGUGUGACUUCUUGCCAAGCCGAUUAUACGUAUACGAGCUUUCACGGCUCACGCCUACACGUAGCGAAUGUGUGCGCGAAACCGGCGUGUUAUAAAAUGACAGUUUUGCCUUAGUUGGUCUAUCUCUAGCUAUCUGUCAACUGCGUGCGGCAAAACUGUUUCUGUGUUACAAUGUGUUUAAAAUAUUUGUACAAUUUCAGCAUUACAUUUAGAAAGUUAACAUUUGUUGUAACAUCUUGUAAAUGGAGCGAGUACAGAUUCCGAUGAUGGGUUUCAAAAAUUUACGUACAUGGAUAAGGUUGUAAGUGACGUUUUUAAUGAAAUGGGCACGGUACAGUCAGCGGCGGAAGUAGCAAAGCGGGCACAUUGAGUUAUUAUUGUUAUUGAGAAGCCAUUAUAGCCAAGCAAUCAAUAAAAUUGUGGCGAUGUACCGCGCGACCAAAACGUCGUAAACGCCGUAGAUUCACGCUCCGCUUCUAUGGUUUGUUGUCUACAACUCAAGGCACAAAAUACUGGUUCCCUGUGCCGUUCUAUACGUAGUAAUAAUAGUUCAAUGAGCGUACCCGACAUCCGAAAUCAUCUGAACAUAACUUUGUUGCUAGCGGGUGCAAAUCAUUUUGGAAAGUUGGGGCGCUAAGCUUCUCCUUCUGUGCCACUUUGUCCAUUAGUAUUGACCGACACUGACGCUCGUACCUUUUGCUUAGAAACGAAAACUGAUUAAGUUGUAUAAAAAUGUUAUCCAUAUGGACGAGAAUACAUAUGGAUAACUUUGUUUUUAUAAUGUUUCAUGAAAAAACAUACAAAUCCUUACAAUGUACAUUUUUUAAAUCCACCUAAAUUAUUAACGAUUAAUGAAAUUGUACUUUAAAUUCAUAUGAUAAUUAAAUUGAUUAAACGAGGCAAAUAUAGGGAUGGUAUUCUGUAGUCGCUCUAGCGUGGUUAUGUUUCCGCGUCAGGAUCUUAAGUUCUGGUUGUAAUGCAGUGACCUCAUUAUAGACAGACAUAUUUUACCAGAAAAUUCGUUAAAUAAAGCACUCAUUGUUCGAAAAAGUA